GAAAAAAAAGAAGCUAAGCUAAAAGAAAUUAAGACGAUACUUGAAGAAGAGAUUACUCCAACCAUUCAAAAAUUAAAAGAGGAAAGAUCUUCUUAUUUGGAAUAUCAAAAAGUAAUGCGCGAAAUAGAACAUUUGAGUCGUUUGUAUAUUGCUUAUCAAUUUUUGCUGGCUGAAGAUAC